UCUGCGGUGGGUACGGGCAGACUAGAGUGCAGUAGGGGAGACUGGAAUUCCUGGUGUAGCGGUGAAAUGCGCAGAUAUCAGGAGGAACACCGAUGGCGAAGGCAGGUCUCUGGGCUGUAACUGACGCUGAGGAGCGAAAGCAUGGGGAGCGAACAGGAUUAGAUACCCUGGUAGUCCAUGCCGUAAACGUUGGGCACUAGGUGUGGGGGACAUUCCACGUUUUCCGCGCCGUAGCUAACGCAUUAAGUGCCCCGCCUGGGGAGUACGGCCGCAAGGCUAAAACUCAAAGGAAUUGACGGGGGCCCGCACAAGCGGCGGAGCAUGCGGAUUAAUUCGAUGCAACGCGAAGAACCUUACCAAGGCUUGACAUGAACCGGAAUGAUGCAGAGAUGUGUCAGCCACUUGUGGCCGGUUUACAGGUGGUGCAUGGUUGUCGUCAGCUCGUGUCGUGAGAUGUUGGGUUAAGUCCCGCAACGAGCGCAACCCUCGUUCCAUGUUGCCAGCGGGUUAUGCCGGGGACUCAUGGGAGACUGCCGGGGUCAACUCGGAGGAAGGUGGGGACGACGUCAAAUCAUCAUGCCCCUUAUGUCUUGGGCUUCACGCAUGCUACAAUGGCCGGUACAAAGGGUUGCGAUACUGUGAGGUGGAGCUAAUCCCAAAAAGCCGGUCUCAGUUCGGAYUGAGGUCUGCAACUCGACCUCAUGAAGUUGGAGUCGCUAGUAAUCGCAGAUCAGCAACGYUGCGGUGAAUACGUUCCCGGGCCUUGUACACACCGCCCGUCAAGUCACGAAAGUUGGUAACACCCGAAGCCGGUGGCCUAACCCCUUGUGGAGGGAGCC
rnacentral:rRNA from 1 species